rnacentral:rRNA from 1 species
UACAGAGGGUGCAAGCGUUGUUCGGAAUUAUUGGGCGUAAAGCGCGCGUAGGCGGCUUUGCAAGUCGGGUGUGAAAUCCCUCAGCUUAACUGAGGAAGUGCGCUCGAAACUGCAGAGCUUGAAUGCCAAAGAGGAUGGCGGAAUUCCCCAAGUAGAGGUGAAAUUCGUAGAUAUGGGGAGGAACACCGGUGGCGAAGGCGGCCAUCUGGGUGGUGAUUGACGCUGAGGCGCGACAGCGUGGGGAGCAAACAGG